UCUUCCAUAGUCUAGGGGUCAUGAUAUCCGCUUGUCAACAGACAACAGCGCGGAUGGCCCGGGUUCGAAUCCCGGUGGGAGAG
rnacentral:tRNA from 1 species